GAUGAACGCUGGCGGCGUGCUUAACACAUGCAAGUCGAACGAAGCACCUUGAUUUGCUUCUUCGGAUGAAGAUCUUGGUGACUGAGUGGCGGACGGGUGAGUAACGCGUGGGUAACCUGCCUCAUACAGGGGGAUAACAGUUAGAAAUGACUGCUAAUACCGCAUAAGACCACAGCACCGCAUGGUGCAGGGGUAAAAACUCCGGUGGUAUGAGAUGGACCCGCGUCUGAUUAGGUAGUUGGUGGGGUAACGGCCUACCAAGCCGACGAUCAGUAGCCGACCUGAGAGGGUGACCGGCCACAUUGGGACUGAGACACGGCCCAAACUCCUACGGGAGGCAGCAGUGGGGAAUAUUGCACAAUGGGGGAAACCCUGAUGCAGCGACGCCGCGUGAGCGAUGAAGUAUUUCGGUAUGUAAAGCUCUAUCAGCAGGGAAGAAAAUGACGGUACCUGACCAAGAAGCACCGGCUAAAUACGUG
rnacentral:rRNA from 1 species